rnacentral:rRNA from 1 species
GAAACUCGCCUACAUGAAGCUGGAGUUGCUAGUAAUCGCGAAUCAGCAUGUCGCGGUGAAUACGUUCCCGGGCCUUGUACACACCGCCCGUCACACCAUGAGAGUUGGCAAUACCCAACGUACGUGAUCUAACCCGCAAGGGAGGAAGCGUCCUAAGGUAGGGUCAGCGAUUGGGUGAAGUCGUAACAAGGUAGC